rnacentral:rRNA from 1 species
CGAAGGCAAGCGGAUCUCUUAAAGCUGUUCUCAGUUCGGACUGCAGUCUGCAACUCGACUGCACGAAGCUGGAAUCGCUAGUAAUCGCGGAUCAGCACGCCGCGGUGAAUACGUUCCCGGGCCUUGUACACACCGCCCGUCACACCAUGGAAGUCUGCAAUGCCCGAAACCGGUGGCCUAACCACUUAUGUGGAAGGAGCCGUCUAAGGCAGGGCAGAUGACUGGGGUGAAGUCGUAACAAGGUAUC